CGGCACGGGUGAGUAACACGUAUCCAACCUGCCGUCUACUCUUGGACAGCCUUCUGAAAGGAAGAUUAAUACAAGAUGGCAUCAUGAGUCCACAUGUUCACAUGAUUAAAGGUACUCCGGUAGACGAUGGGGAUGCGUUCCAUUAGAUAGUAGGCGGGGUAACGGCCCACCUAGUCUUCGAUGGAUAGGGGUUCUGAGAGGAAGGUCCCCCACAUUGGAACUGAGACACGGUCCAA
rnacentral:rRNA from 1 species